rnacentral:rRNA from 1 species
AUUGAACGCUGGCGGCAUGCCUUACACAUGCAAGUCGAACGGUAACGCGGGGCAACCUGGCGACGAGUGGCGAACGGGUGAGUAAUGCAUCGGAACGUGCCCAGAAGUGGGGGAUAGCCCGGCGAAAGCCGGAUUAAUACCGCAUGAGACCUGAGGGUGAAAGCGGGGGAUCGCAAGACCUCGCGCUUUUGGAGCGGCCGAUGUCAGAUUAGCUAGUUGGUGGGGUAAAGGCCUACCAAGGCGACGAUCUGUAGCUGGUCUGAGAGGACGACCAGCCACACUGGGACUGAGACACGGCCCAGACUCCUACGGGAGGCAGCAGUGGGGAAUUUUGGACAAUGGGCGCAAGCCUGAUCCAGCCAUGCCGCGUGCGGGAAGAAGGCCUUCGGGUUGUAAACCGCUUUUGUCAGGGAAGAAACGCUCUGGGCUAAUACCCUGGGGUAAUGACGGUACCUGAAGAAUAAACACCGGCUAACUACGUG